rnacentral:rRNA from 1 species
UACGUAGGGUGCAAGCGUUGUCCGGAAUUAUUGGGCGUAAAGAGCUCGUAGGCGGUCUGUUGCGUCCGCUGUGAAAACUCGGGGCUUAACCCCGAGCCUGCAGUGGAUACGGGCAGACUAGAGGUAGGUAGGGGAGAAUGGAAUUCCCGGUGUAGCGGUGAAAUGCGUAGAUAUCGGAAGGAACACCAGUGGCGAAAGCGGCUUCCUGGUCCAGCACCGACGUUCAGGCACGAAAGCGUGGGGAGCAAACAGG